UUUAUAACAAGAUAUUGGAGAUUUCGCGAGAUUGGAUUCGGAUAUGAUACGCUCUCCUACACUAAAUAUGUAAACUACAGGGCAGAGUAAGCUAAAAUAAUUGUAAAGUUCUCUUACGUCCUUUUUUCUAGAAUCCUCUUUCGAGGUUUGGCGGGUGAUUCGGUCGGGAGCUUGGAAGCGCGUGAUCGCGUUGGGCUGCUCUCGUCGCCGUCACCAUCCUCCCAUUUCAUCUCAGCCGUGCGUUGGCGUCCCGUUUGCCACGCUAAAAGUUUUAAAAGUAAGCUGAUCCCGUCGGUUGCUAUUGAUACUGCUCCGGAGUAACCCUCGCUCUACCGGCUUCAUAUUUGCAGAAAUAGUAAGACGGGUCCGAUACCUGGAGUCGGGGAAGUGGCGGUCAAUGCGGACUCGUUCGAGCUCAACAAACUCGAUUUGAAUCUGGCGCAUAAGUCCGCCACCCCUCCAAAACCACCCCGUCCUGCGUCGCCCUUCAUCGAAUGCCACGGAGCUCGCGCAUCUCUACGGCGGAGGGAGACGAAUCGGCGGCGAUCUCGUAGCUCCGGGUUUGCCUCGAUCGAUCGAUCGUCUUGUGCCGACGCACAGUCCCGGCCCGGCCCUCCUUAGGCGUGGCUAUGCUGGCGCCUACGGCUCCAUACUCCCCCGAGUCGAAGCGGAGAUCAACUGAGAAUUUUCUUGGUUGAUCGAAUUUUGUGAGGUCUCUCGUCGUCGGCAUCCGUUUGGUUGGGCAAAAAGCGGAGGUACUAUCUAUUGGAAUUCGUUUGACGACUGGUGUGCACGUGAAAGGGCUGCUGUCGAUGGAUUUAGCUGCAAGUAGUCGGGAUAAGUUGGCCCACUUCAGAAUAAAAGAGCUUAAAGAUGUGCUGACUCAACUUGGUCUGUCCAAGCAAGGAAAGAAGCAGCUAUAGAAGAGCUGGAAUUAGAGGAAGAGGAGUAUAUUCAAAUUAAGGAAAUGAUUCAUAUAUCAGUUGGAAAAAGAAAUUUAUCCUUCGAGCAAAAGUUCGGACCACUUUUACAGAACUUAAAGAAGCAAGGAAUUAUUGGAGAAAAUCCUCUGUAACAUUGGCAGAAGAACAAAAUUGUAUGCCAGCUAGAUAUCAAGAACCUGGAAUUUAUUAUUGAAGACAGACCUCUGAAGUACUUAACUCCUAUUCAGAAGAAAGCUUUCACAAAGCAUGUCAAGGCUCUUAUGGAAUUGGGUAUUAUCCGACCAAGAAAAAGCAGACAUCGGACAACAACGAUUAUUGUAAAUUCGGGAACUACUAUUGAUCCCAUUACAAAGGAAG